AAUGACACAGUCUCAUAAUUUUUAAACCUGCUGACCUCUACAGACCUCUGUUAUGGUGUGAUGGCCAGUCCUGAUGUCUCAGUCAUC
ensembl:snoRNA small nucleolar RNA SNORD86